AGGUUCCUCCCUAGCUCCUUCCCCAGCUCCCAACCCCCUUCCCUCCCCACCUCCCCCAGCCCCCCCCCACCAGCUCCUUCCCCGUUCCCUCCCAGCUCCCCCCCCAACUCUUCAGAGAGGCUGCCAGGCCCAUCACACACAUCCCACCAAUGAAAGGAUUCAAAACUCCAGGAAGAUAGGAUGAAACCAGCAAAUUGUCUCCUCCUGCAGCCAAAUCUCUCAGCUGCUGGUUUGUGGCAAAACAGUGGCAGGAAUUAUUUCCAGAGAAUUCAUCGGAUGCUUCAACCCUCCUGAAGGACUACAGGCAUCCUCUGAAGUCUCUCUCCGGGGAAACUCAUCCUAUCUGUCCCAGCCAGUGUUGUGCACGUCGCCCACCCGCUACAGGAGGAGUCUGAAGUCUGCAGGCCCCCCAAAGGCAGUCUCUUGUGGGUAUCGCCCCGUACCCACUGGCAGAUGGAUGGAUCAAGAAAAGAGUCCGUGCACACAACGGGAUAGUGUUCAGCCUUAAAAAGGAAGGAGGUUCUGACUUCUGUGACAUCGUGGAUGAGCCCUGAGAACACUGUGCUCAAAAACCCAGACACGGAACAGAUACUGCGUGAUUCCACAUGUGUGAGGAACCGGGAGUAGUGCCGUCACUACCGAGGUUGGGGGCAGGGAAUGGAGCGUGUUCGUGAGGACAGAGCUCCACUUUGGCAGGCUUGAGAGCGGAAGGACGGACGGGGUCACAGGAACACAGCGUGAGGAGAGUAAUGCUACAGAACUGCACAUCUGAGCUGUGUAACAUGACACAUUUCAUGUUAGAUAGACUUUAUCACAACCGAAGUUAAAAAAAACCUCACAAAUCGUUCUAAGAAAAAUUACGCAGAUCAUAGGAAAGGAGAGUCAGUGUCCAAAAGACUUUUAAAAUCCCUUUAGACGGUCAUUCAAGUUCCCCUUCGAGAACUGACCAUUAAAACAGCAUCUGCUCUUUGCAUCGUGUUUCUAAUGACACUGCCCACUGCUGGUACCGUUAGAAAUGUAUCCAAAAACUUCUAUUUUAUAGUGGGGCCAGAAAAAGCAUCUAUACUUCAGCAUGAGCCGCCUGAAUUCUUACAAACUAACAAUAAAAGCAAACACACACCGGCAGAUACAGGGCUGAAGAGGCAAUUCAAAAGGGAAUCCAAAAGGCCAAUAAACAUGAACAUGUUCGCUUUUGUAAAAAUGAAAAGAAAGGACGUUAAACAGCGAGGCCGCUUCUACUUCCCGAACAGGCACGGGACAGAACGUGGGCACGUGAGCAGGGAAGUGGGGCCAUGGUGGCCCCGAGCGGGACGGGGGUCAGAGGGACAUCCCAGCAGCAUGGGGCGCACACCCAUGGGUGGGCCUGGUGCAGUGUGCUGAAGCCUGAGGAGGCUUCAGGCGGGCACUCCCGGAAGAGGGCAGCCCACCACAGGGGGCGCGGGCAGAGCAGGAUGAGAAGGCAUCCAUGCGGGGGGUGGGCGGGCAGCGCCAUGAUGAGAGGCUGGUUAUGCACGGGGCUCACUAAAUAGGGAGAGAGAGUAAUGACCACAGGGUCAGGCCCCUGUCAGUGAGAACGAGAAGGUGCUAUAUGCAUCUCAGCAAACAGGGGCACAGACCCCUGUUACGUGCAACACCACAGGCGGCUCUCAAACGCCCGCCGGUGGAUGGAAGCGGCCGUAUGGUGACCUUAAUCGAGGCAUCAGAGUGACAACCGCCACUGUGAAGAUCGGUGCCCGGAAACCCGGUGCCGGCAGCCGUGGGGAGAAAGGCACGGGUCCCUUCUCUGACAGUCCGGCCACGGAUGCGGCACCUGAAGCUCAACGUCAGGGACCCUAGACAAACCCAGUGGUGGGACAUCCUACAGAAUGGGCCGAGCAUCCACAAAAACGUCAGGGCCACGACGUCAAGGCAAGACUCAGGAGCUGUUCCACCCUGGCAGAGACGAAGGAGGCGUGACAAGCCAGUGCGACACCUGGGCCUGAGCUGGACUCUUCCUGCAAGAGCGCUUCUUGGAACAACGGCCAGGCGUGGCUGGGGUCUGAGGACCCAGGCUUUUCCUGAUUGUGACUAUGUAGGGGAAUGUCCUUCUUCACGGAACAUACACGUUCAUGGGGGGGGUCACGGGGCAUUUGAUGGACAGUUUACUUUCAAAUACCUAAGGAAGAAAAAGUCCUUUGAAGGGUUUGUAAUUUUCUGUAAGUCUGAAACCGUUUCCAAAAAAAAAUUGUAAAAUCGAGGCGCCUGGGUGGCUCAGUUGUUAGGUGUCUGCCUUCAGCUCAGGUCAUGAUCCCAGGGUCCU